rnacentral:rRNA from 1 species
GACGAACGCUGGCGGCGUGCCUAAUACAUGCAAGUCGAGCGCAGGAAACUGACGGGACUCUUCGGAGGGAAGGCAGUGGAAUGAGCGGCGGACGGGUGAGUAACACGUAAGGAACCUGCCUCAAGGAUUGGGAUGACUCCGAGAAAUCGGAGCUAAUACCGGAUAGUUCAUCGGACCGCAUGGUCCGUUGAUGAAAGGCGGUCCGGCGUCACCUUGAGCUGGCCUUGCGGUGCAUUAGCUAGUUGGUGGGGUAACGGUCCACCAAGGCGACGAUGCAUAGCCGACCUGAGAGGGUGAUCGGCCACACUGGGACUGAGACACGGCCCAGACUCCUACGGGAGGCAGCAGUAGGGAAUCUUCCACAAUGGACGAAAGUCUGAUGGAGCAACGCCGCGUGAGUGAUGAAGGUUUUCGGAUCGUAAAACUCUGUUGUAAGGGAAGAACACGUACGAGAGGGAAUGCUCGUACCUUGACGGUACCUUACGAGAAAGCCACGGCUAACUACGUGCCAGCAGCCCGCCGUAA